rnacentral:lncRNA from 1 species
GGUCCAAUCCAGUCUUCAGGACCAACAAUCCAGGAUUAUCUGAAUCGACCAAGGCCUACCUGGGAGGAAGUGAAGGAGCAGCUGGAAAAGAAAAAGAAGGGCUCCAAGGCUUUGGCUGAGUUUGAAGAGAAAAUGAAUGAGAAUUGGAAGAAAGAACUAGAAAAACAUAGAGAAAAACUAUUAAGUGGAAAUGAGAGCUCAUCCAAAAAGCGACAGAAAAAGAAAAAAGAAAAGAAGAAAUCUGGUAGGGUGAGCAAAAGUUUUCUAUUGUCUAAAUGUUACAGCUAGGGCCUAUGAGACAGUAAGAACGAUUGAUUUCCCUGUGCGCUAAAACUGACUUAGACUGCAGAUGCGUCAGGCAGCCCACAGGUCCUUUGGCUGGGAUGGGUGACAUGAAAGAAGUGUUAGUGUCCUCUACCCUAGGAGUGUCUCUGCCGCUACUGCUGCUGCUGCCGCCGCCGCUGCCGCCGCCGCUGCUGCUGCUGCAGAGGACAGUGCUGCUCAUUGCUGCACAUGUUGUUGCUUUGUUGAGCUUUUGUGGGAGGGAAAUGGCUUUGAUAUUUUAGUUUCUAAAUCCUGUGAAUAUGGCAUCUGUUUCUUAGACACUAGAUUGAUUUCACUAAGUGCUUGAGAGACUUAGUAAAAGAAACCAAUUCCUGCAUCUCACAAGCUUUAAUUGUUUUGUGCUUGGUCAAGUAUUCAUCUUCUUCUUCAUCGAGCUCUGAUUCUUCCAGCAGUUCUUCAGAUUCUGAGGAGGAGGAUAAAAAGCAAACAAAAAGAAGGAAGAAAAAGAAGAGCCAUUGCCAUAAGUCUCCGGAGACCUCCGUGUCGGAUUCAGACUCAGACAGCAAGGACACUAAAGGACUCAGCAAAAAGAGAAAGAUGUAUGAGGAUAAACCUUUGUCAUCUGAGUCAUUGUCAGAGUCAGACUGUGGAGAGGUGCAAGCGAAAAAGAAGAAAAGCGGUGAAGAGCGAGAGAGAACAAC